rnacentral:tRNA from 1 species
AGCCCAGGGGGUGAUCCACGCCAAACUGCAAAUUUGGAGAAGCUCCCCAGAAGGGAGCCGGGGCUU